CAAAAAAUAUAUUGAAUAAUAGAAAGUAAUCAGAAGUUAUAAAAAAAAGUUACCUCACUUUUCUAUUUUAGAUAUAACUUUAUCUAAAUAGACAUAUUUUAAUAUACUGUAAAAUUAUAGGAUUAAUUAAAUAUUGCUUGCGGAUAGUUAUGCAGUUCGAAAUUGCAUACAUUAUUGCCACAAAUAAAUUUGAUGAUAUAAUAAGUAACAAUAAAUCAAAAUAUUUUUUAUCACUUUCGAUAUUGCUAUUAUUACUAUUAUAUUUUAUUAUAUAGCUUCUCAUUAAAUUUCACAUUGAAGUUAUUUUAGCUCAUAUAUGUGAAGUCCUUUCAAAUAUGACAGCUUAUAUUUUCUAAUUCCUCAACUCAGUUUGUACUAAACUUAAUAAUUUCUUACUCUAAACAAAUAUGGAAAUCUGUGGUAAUGUCUCGUCCUAUGUGAUCGCUUAAUGUGAAGCCAUAGUAGUCAAGGCAUUAAUAAAUUGCAGUAUUUAAAUUAUCAUCUUCUAACAUUAUUUUUUCUGUUUUAUAGUGGAAAAAAACAGAAAACCUGAAGAAGAUCUUGGUUUAUUGACAGAUGGAGAAAGUGAAAUGAAAUUACCACAAGGUCAAGAAGGAAAAGAUUUCCAAGAAUUCUACGGACCAAUUGAUGGAGUAAGACCCAUCGAUCAUUUUGAAGUAUAUGCAUCACUAAUAGCAAGUGUGUACAUGCAAGUAAUCAACCGUGAAGAAACAAUUUAUAUUAAAACACCAGACUGGACGGGCCAAAAAAUUAAGCUGUGCGGACCAUCGCACGUUGUCCAUCGUUGGAACAACGUGGGACAACCAGAAGAAUACACUAUUUUAGAAACUAAACACUUAUUAUGUCUAGCUAGAGAGUUGCAUCCAGACAUAACGCUUAGUUGUAACGAAUGUAAAAAACCCUUAUUCCAAAGGAAAGGGGGAGCACGAAACUGUAAUGAUUGCAUAGAAGAAUUUUUAGAAGAUCCAGAAAGAAUAGAUUAUGAACCAGUAAUUAUGAAUAGAUUAUGAACCAGAAAUACCAGUAAUUAGAAGGUA